GAUGAAGAACGCAGCGAAAUGCGAUAAGUAAUGUGAAUUGCAGAAUUCCGUGAAUCAUCGAAUCUUUGAACGCACAUUGCGCCCCUUGGUAUUCCAUGGGGCAUGCCUGUUCGAGCGUCAUUUGUACCUUCAAGCUCUGCUUGGUGUUGGGUGUUUGUCUCGCCUCUGCGUGUAGACUCGCCUCAAAACAAUUGGCAGCCGGCGUAUUGAUUUCGGAGCGCAGUACAUCUCGCGCUUUGCACUCAUAACGACGACGUCCAAAAGUACAUUUUUACACUCUUGACCUCGGAUCAGGUAGGGAUACCCGCUGAACUUAAGCAUAUCAAUAAGCGGAGGA
rnacentral:misc_RNA from 1 species